UUCAGCUUUGAGAUCAAACUCACAGCUGAGAGAACUGGAUCUGUCUGGGAAUUAUAUAGAAGAUGGAGGUGUGAUGCUGCUUUCCGCUUUAAAAGUUAAUCCACAGUAUAAACUGAAGGCACUGCAGUUUUAAAUGAUGGUGGAUAUGGGAUCACAGACAAAUGAAAGUGAACAGAAUCAACAAAAAUGAACUCGCAGUGAACACGCGCUGAUGUGUGUUGGGGAUACAGGAGUUUACACAGGCAACGUUACAGUGACUUGGAUUUUAACACGAGCUGCUUAAAAUGCUCUAUUAUUUAUGUGUAUACACAUCUGAAUAUGACAUUUGUAAAGCAAACUUUCUGUUGCUUCACACACAAGAAGAAUUCAGCUUUUACUCAUAAGAACAAUGGUUGCAUUUGCAGUGACAUGAUUCAGCAGAGGAUAUCAUUUCUUAUGAGUAAAUCAUUAAUUCAUAAUUGCAUUCAUAUUACCAUGUUAAAUUUAGAUAGGUGUGUACAUAUUUUACCCUUUGGGCUACUUCAGACCUUUCACUGCAAUUUGAGACUUUUUACUGACAGCACAGGAUUGUAAUACAUUUUGAGUGAAAUAAUGUCUUUGAUAUAAAGGCAACUUUUUAAUGCAUCUGAAUGUAACAAAACAAAUAACUUUUAUAAUAUAUAAUAUGAUAAAUAUAUAAACUUGGAUGCAUGUUGCUCACAUAUUGUGUGAAAACUCUCUGUAUGAUAUUUCUAAUGAGUAUAUUGUAUAUAAUUGUAAAGGAUUUUUUGUACAUAGGAUUUAUUAAACUCUUCAUAAGUGAAGUUGGA